GACGGAGGAUGCAAGUGUUAUCCGGAAUCACUGGGCGUAAAGCGUCUGUAGGUGGUUCAAUAAGUCAACUGUUAAAUCUUGAGGCUCAACUUCAAAAUCGCAGUCGAAACUAUUGGACUCGAGUAUAGUAGGGGUAAAGGGAAUUUCCAGUGGAGCGGUGAAAUGCGUAGAGAUUGGAAAGAACACCGAUGGCGAAGGCACUUUACUGGGCUAUUACUAACACUGAGAGACGAAAGCUAGGGUAGCAAAUGGG
rnacentral:rRNA from 1 species